UAGGGAAUCUUCGGCAAUGGACGGAAGUCUGACCGAGCAACGCCGCGUGAGUGAAGAAGGUUUUCGGAUCGUAAAGCUCUGUUGUUAGAGAAGAACGUUGGUAGGAGUGGAAAAUCUACCAAGUGACGGUAACUAACCAGAAAGGGACGGCUAACUACGUGCCAGCAGCCGCGGUAAUACGUAUGUCCCGAGCGUUGUCCUGAUUUAUUGGGCGUAAAGCGAGCGCAGGCGGUUGUUUAAGUCUGAAGUUAAAGGCAGUGGCUUAACCAUUGUACGCUUUGGAAACUGGAGGACUGAAGUGCAGAGGGGGAAGGUGGAUUUCCAUGUGUGGCGGUGAAAUCCGUGGAUAUAUGGAGGAACACCGGUGGAGAAAGCGGCUCUCUGGUCUGUUCCUGACGCUGAGGCUCAAAAGCGUGGGGGGCAAACAGG
rnacentral:rRNA from 1 species